CNCAAGGGGUGAAGCCUGCGGUUCAAUUGGAGUCAACGCCAGGAAACUUACCAGGAGAGACAGCAGGUUGAGGGUCAGUCUGAAGAACUUACCUGACGAGCUGAGAGGAGGUGCAUGGCNGUCGCCAGCUCGUGCCGUGAGGCGUCCUGUUAAGUCAGGCAACGAGCGAGACCCCUAUCGGUAAUUGCUAACUGCCCAGAGAUGGGUAGAGGCUAGUUACAGAGACUGCCGUUGAUAAAACGGAGGAAGGAAGGGGCCACGGCAGGUCAGUAUGCCCCGAAACUCCUGGGCCACACGCGGGCUGCAAUGGUAGGGACAAUAGGUUCCGACCUCGAAAGAGGAAGGCAAUCCCCAAACCCUACCCCAGUUGUGAUCGAGGAUUGAAACCCGUCCUCGUGAAUAUGGAAUCCCUAGUAACCGCGUGUCNUNACCGCGCGGUGAAUACGUCCCUGCUCC
rnacentral:rRNA from 1 species